GCGCUUACCACUUUGUGAUUCAUGACUGGGGUGAAGUCGUAACAAGGUAACCGUAGGGGAACCUGCGGUUGGAUCACCUCCUUACCUUAAAGAAGCGUACUUUGCAGUGCUCACACAGAUUGUCUGAUGAAAAUGAGCAGUAAAACCUCUACAGGCUUGUAGCUCAGGUGGUUAGAGCGCACCCCUGAUAAGGGUGAGGUCGGUGGUUCAAGUCCACUCAGGCCUACCAAAUUUGCACGGCAAAUUUGAAGAGGUUUUAACUACAUGUUAUGGGGCUAUAGCUCAGCUGGGAGAGCGCCUGCUUUGCACGCAGGAGGUCUGCGGUUCGAUCCCGCAUAGCUCCACCAUCUCUGUAGUGAUUAAAUAAAAAAUACUUCAGAGUGUACCUGCAAAGGUUCACUGCGAAGUUUUGCUCUUUAAAAAUCUGGAUCAAGCUGAAAAUUGAAACACUGAACAACGAAAGUUGUUCGUGAGUCUCUCAAAUUUUCGCAACACGAUGAUGAAUCGNGAGCAUGUGGUUUAAUUCGAUGCAACGCGAAGAACCUUACCUGGUCUUGACAUCCACGGAAGUUUUCAGAGAUGAGAAUGUGCCUUCGGGAACCGUGAGACAGGUGCUGCAUGGCUGUCGUCAGCUCGUGUUGUGAAAUGUUGGGUUAAGUCCCGCAACGAGCGCAACCCUUAUCCUUUGUUGCCAGCGGUCCGGCCGGGAACUCAAAGGAGACUGCCAGUGAUAAACUGGAGGAAGGUGGGGAUGACGUCAAGUCAUCAUGGCCCUUACGACCAGGGCUACACACGUGCUACAAUGGCGCAUACAAAGAGAAGCGACCUCGCGAGAGCAAGCGGACCUCAUAAAGUGCGUCGUAGUCCGGAUUGGAGUCUGCAACUCGACUCCAUGAAGUCGGAAUCGCUAGUAAUCGUGGAUCAGAAUGCCACGGUGAAUACGUUCCCGGGCCUUGUACACACCGCCCGUCACACCAUGGGAGUGGGUUGCAAAAGAAGUAGGUAGCUUAACCUUCGGGAGGGCGCUUACCACUUUGUGAUUCAUGACUGGGGUGAAGUCGUAACAAGGUAACCGUAGGGGAACCUGCGGUUG
rnacentral:rRNA from 1 species